rnacentral:rRNA from 1 species
GAUGAACGCUGGCGGCGUGCUUAACACAUGCAAGUCGAGCGAAGCACAUAAGUUUGAUUCUUCGGAUGAAGAUUUAUGUGACUGAGCGGCGGACGGGUGAGUAACGCGUGGGUAACCUGCCUUACACAGGGGGAUAACAGUUAGAAAUGACUGCUAAUACCGCAUAAGACCCCGGUACCGCAUGGUACAGAGGUAAAAACUGAGGUGGUGUAAGAUGGACCCGCGUCUGAUUAGGUAGUUGGUGAGGUAACGGCUCACCAAGCCGACGAUCAGUAGCCGGCCUGAGAGGGUGGACGGCCACAUUGGGACUGAGACACGGCCCAG